UAGGGGAGAGCGUGAAUGCAGUCCCCCACUACCACAAAUUAUGCAGUCAAGUUUCCCUCAUUUGGGGAAAUCUCAGGGGACAGCAUAUCCAGAGUACAAUGGGUAAGUCUCACCCUGGAAAAACCACCUUCGUGAUCAUGGUAUCUCCCCUGCCAGGUAAGUAU
rnacentral:snRNA from 1 species